AGGAGCAAUGGCAGGAGGUAUUUUCAGUUUUAAUGUUUUGCUUGCAAAUGGUUUAAUCAAAGACAAGUCUGAAGAGGCAGAAUGAGCAACAGAUAAGAUUUGACCUUUACAACUACAUUUGAAUUUUUGCCAGAACAUCAAGUAAUUAUUUUUUUUUUCUCCAACAAACCUAAGGUUGGCUAAGCAGCAAUUUACAAAGCUUUUCUAUCACUAAAUAAAUAGAAAGUGACUGGACUGCAUUGUUCAUUGGAAAUUUAAGCAAGAAACAAGCAAACUUGGCACGGGCCCAGCACAGAUUACUGCAGACACUCAGUUUUGGAGCAGAGACCAUCCCUAAAGAGAUUUGCUUAUUGCA
rnacentral:lncRNA from 1 species